UUUGACCUCGGAUCAGGUAGGAAUACCCGCUGAACUUAAGCA
rnacentral:rRNA from 2 species